GGUAGCGGGCAGCGGAAGGAGGCCGUGCCCCGCUCUCGGGGUCUCCAGCAAACUCCCAGGAAGGGGUCCCUGCCUCCCUCUCCAGCCUCUUUUGCUGGGGGUCGGGUGUGUCCUGGGUGAGAUGAGCCACCUGACCCAGGGCGGGCCUCUGACGGCCAGGUGUGAUGGCCCUGGGCCGUGUGGAUAUCCGCCGACUCUGCAGAUUCCACUGAGGGAGGGUGGGAUUUGUUUCGGACCAGAUGGUUUCUCAAAGGUGCAGGAGAAAAAUGCUCCCCACCCUUGGAGAGGGGUCCCUGGGGUGGGAGGGGCCUGAGGGACCCUGCAGUCCAGUGCCUCCCCAUGUGUAUCCCCAAGCCCUGAGGGUUUGGUGGGGGUGGUGAGAAGGGGUAGUCUGACGGGAGAAAGAGCUACCUGUGUCCUUUGGCUACCGUGGGGCUCGAUGGCCGGGUCCCACAGUGGACACUGAGACAGAUGCAUGGAGGUCGGCUGGUUCUGGGAAUAGGCUUGGGUGAGGCCACGCAGCACCCCUGGGGCUGGAUGUUGGGGAAGGCAUCGGGGCUCCCGGGGGUCAGGCUGGGGCCUCCAACACGUUCUGGGCCUGGUAAGGCUAGUCCUGUGCAGGCUGUGAAGCCAGGCCAGCUGACACCAGGAUGGGCUGGAAAGAGCCUCACUUGACUGGAAGAGCGGGAGUCCCAGCGGGGCUGGGGAGGGGAGAAGGGCUGGAGCACGCGUCCAGGCCGUUCUCUCUGCUGGGGUCCGGUGAUCGCCACCUGCAACAGUUAGGUUGUGCUGACCAGGUUACCCAAGGACAAGUGUCUUUGUGACCUGGACCAGAGCAGAAAGUGGCCAGAACAGGAUGAGGGCAACUGUGCCCAGGGCGAGGCUCUGCCCAUAGCAGCCCCUCCUGAGCUUGGUUUCCGUCCUGACCCCUCUGGACCGGAGUCAGCCACCUCAAAUCACAAAGGUCAAAGCUGUGUGACUGAUUCAGUUAUAUUACCCACCCCUCUCAGCCUUUAUUUGGGUAAUUAUUAAGGGCUUUUAGUAGAUUAAGAAAUAGAGUCGACUGAGAGUCGACUGGACGCGAUGACUCAUGCCUGUAAUCCUAGCACUUUGGGAGGCUGAGACCAGCCUGGCCAACAUGGGGAAACCCGGUCUCUACUAAAAAUACAAAAAUUAGCCAGGUGUGGUGGCAGACACCUGUAAUCCCAGCUACUUGAGAGGCUGAGGCAGAAGAAUCGCUUGAACCUGGGGGGCGGAGGUUGCAGUGAGCCGAGAUCGCGCCACUCCAGCCUGGGCAAAAGAGUGAAACUGUCUCAAAAAAAAAAAAAAAA
rnacentral:lncRNA from 1 species